rnacentral:rRNA from 1 species
AACGAACGCUGGCGGCGUGCCUAACACAUGCAAGUCGUGCGAGAAAAGGGACUUCGGUCCCCGAGUAAAGCGGCGCAAGGGUGAGUAACGCGUGGGUAAUCUGCCCGUGAGACCGGGACAACCUGGCGAAAGCCGGGCUAAUACCGGAUAAGCCCACGGGGGCUGCGGCCCCUGCGGGAAAAGGGUGCCCUCUCCAUGGAAGGUACCGCUCAUGGAUGAGCCCGCGUCCGAUUAGCUAGUUGGUGAGGUAACGGCUCACCAAGGCUGGGAUCGGUAGCUGGUCUGAGAGGACGAUCGGCCACACUGGGACUGAGACACGGCCCAGACUCCUACGGGAGGGAGCAGGGGGGAAUAUUGCGCAAUGGGGGAAACCCUGACGCAGCAACGCCGCGUGGGUGAUGAAGGCCUUCGGGUCGUAAAGCCCUGUCGGGUGGGACGAAUUGAUCGCGGGUGAACAAUCCGCGAUCUUGACGGUACCACCAAAGGAAGCACCGGCUAACUCCGUGCCAGCAGCCGCCGUAACAC